rnacentral:ncRNA from 1 species
GCAAGUCUGGUGCCAGCAGCCGCGGUAAUUCCAGCUUCCAAAAGUAUAUAUUUAAGUUGUUGCGGUUAAAAAGCUCGUAGUUGGAUUUUGGGCGCAGGCGGCCGGUCCGUCGCAAGGCGUGUACUGGACGUCCUGGCCUUCCCUCCGGUUCUCCGCCGGUGCUCUUGACUGAGUGUCGGCGGCGGCCGGAACGUUUACUUUGAAAAAAUUAGAGUGUUCAAAGCAGGCUCUCGAGCCUGGAUAAUGGUGCAUGGAAUAAUGGAAUAGGACCUCGGUUCUAUUUUGUUGGUUUUCGGAGCGCGAGGUAAUGAUUAAGAGGGACAGACGGGGGCAUUCGUACUGUGCCGUUAGAGGUGAAAUUCUUGGAUCGGCGCAAGACGAACGACUGCGAAAGCAUUUGCCAAGAAUGUUUUCUUUAAUCAAGAGCGAAAGUCAGAGGUUCGAAGACGAUCAGAUACCGUCCUAGUUCUGACUAUAAACGAUGCCAACUAGCGAUCGGGGGGCGUUACAUUGACGACCCCUCCGGCAGCUUACGGGAAACCAAAGUCUUUGGGUUCCGGGGGAAGUAUGGUUGCAAAGCUGAAACUUAAAGGAAUUGACGGAAGGGCACCACCAGGAGUGGAGCCUGCGGCUUAAUUUGACUCAACACGGGAAAUCUCACCCGGCCCGGACACAGUGAGGAUUGACAGAUUGAGAGCUCUUUCUUG